rnacentral:lncRNA from 1 species
GUGAACUUCACUCUUGACAUGAUGGCUAAAUAAACAAUUACUUAUUAACUGCUGCCUGGAGGUACACUUUUUAAUCUCCUGAACUAGCGAUAAAGUGAAGAUUUGAUUUGGAGAUUUGAAAUCAGGCUAAAGACAAUUUGCAGCUUAGGUGAGAAAGUAACAAAACACAGGGAGGCUUGGGUCAAAUGGCAAAAACACAAUUUAGUUGUUGACCAAGAAGAUGGGCUGAGGAGUCAUUUCUGAGGCUAAAUAUGCUUGGAACACUUUAUCCUCUAAGGAUGGAUGACUGGUACACUCCUUAAUAUUGCUUAAUGGUUUUUCCCCUGAAGGGCAAAGGCACACUGCUGUGCCCUAGCAUGCUGUUUUCAUGGAAGCAACAGCACCUUUAUGUCUUUGUACAUAACAUUGAAAAUGCUACUAAAAUGACAGAUACAGAGUUGAUGAUGGUGGAACAAGUGAGUGAGGUGUUUAGCAAUCCCAAACACUGGACAGGUUAAUCAGAGUCCUAUAGGUCAAAAGACCUCAAGCAUCAGGAUGGAACUGGGUGUCUGUCACAGGGUAAAGAUACACAGUGAGAGUAUUGUGUCCUGAACUGUGUAACAGAUGCAUCCUUCCUUACAAUGAUGUGUAUCUUAAUUCAACCUCAUGAGUUUAUGAGUACACAGAACAAGACCAUGAGUAAGAAUACUUACUCCAUAUUUAGAAUCAAUGCUUCCCAGAGAAUUGACAAUAUAAUCAAGAAUUAGCAAAGAAAUUCUCUAACAUGGACACUUCAAAGAUAUUCUGCCUUUAGUAGAAAUAUCUCUCAACAAGUCUUCUAUGUACUACUUUCCCAAAGUCCUUCAGACCACAAGUGUGCCAAUAAACUCAGUAUUGUGCCUGUCCUUCCAAAGUUUUCACAUCCAAUAAAGCUCCUGUAUAAGAACUGGUGUAUAGAUAAACAGAGUCUGAAACAUUCUCACUGUUUCUGGUAAGUCUUUAUGAAUGGAGAGAUUCUUAAUAUUCCAUUAUUAAAAGAAUAUAAAAUAAUGUUAUUCAUUUUGCAUAUUGCUGCCAAAAGGGGGUAGCAGCCCUUUCUAGUGCUUCAAUAAUAAAUGUUCAAUAAACACUUCCUGAGGUUAAAAUAAUGCAAAACAAGAGCAGCAAAAAUUUUAGAGACUAUUGCUAAAAAUCAAUGUCUUCCUGGCAAGCAGUCUCAAGUGUUUUAAAUCUUCUUUCAUUCAAUCAAUAAAUUGUCAAUAAGUUCCACAUUUCUAGAUAUCUUAAUAUACUAAUAUAGUCAGUGAUUCUUUAGGAAUAUAAGAUUAAAAUGUCAUACAAUAACAUACAAAUAUCCAUUAACAUUUCUUCUUUUUGUAAAGUAAUCCUCAGGAAAGCAAUGUAAAGAUAAGGUUUGUAUAAUAUUUUAUUCCCUGCUACUUUACUAUUAUACAUCACAAAACAUUUUCAUAGAUGAUGAAAGUCAUCACUGUGACUGACAAAAAUAUGAUUUAUAUAUCAGCUUGGUGUGGAAGGGUUCAUUUUGACUCAUGAUUUCAAAGAUGUCCACUCAUAGUCCUUGGUUCCACUGAGUAUGGGGUCAUUCCAUGGUUAGAAAGAACAUCAAUAAUAUGAGGAACAUAUAUAGGGGCAUGCUAUUCACCUUACUACAAACAAAAAGUAGAAUAGAAGUAGGGAUUUGGCCAAAUACAGUUUUUGUAGACUCACAAUUCAGUAAUCAAUGGCUUCCAAGUUGGUUCUACCACUUAAGUUUCCAGAUGCUCACAAAUGCCACUAUCAAUUGGGAUCUAGUCUUUAAUAUAUGAGUUUGGGGGAAUUCAAAUUCAGACCCAACAGAAACCCUCUGAGAACAAAUUUAAUUGUGAUAAUUUUGAGUUUCAUAUGAAUUUUCCUCAAAGAAAGAUCACCAUAAAGAUUUUGUAAGACUUUAUUAAGAAGGUAGACAAGGAGCAUGUGCCUUUGAUACAGUUUGGAGCAUCUUUUCGGUAUAUACCCAGGAGUGGUAUAGCUGAGUUGUCAGGUAAUACUAGGUCCAAUUUUCUGAGUCACCACUAGUUGAUUUCCAGAGGGGUUGUACCAUCUUGUAAUCUCACCAACAAUGAAGGAGUGUUCCUCUUUCUCUACAUCCAUACCAGCAUCUGAUGUCACCUGAGUUUUUAAUCUUAGCCAUUCUGACUGGUGUGAGGUGGAAUUUCAGGGUUGUUUUGAUUUGUAUUUUCCUGAUGACUAAGGAUGCUGAAUAUCUCUUUAGAUGCUUCUUGGCCAUUUGAUAUUCCUCAGUUGAGAAUUCUUUGUCUAGUUCUGUACCCCAUUUUUAAUGGUUAUUUGAUUCUCUGAGUCUAAUUUCUUGAGUUCUUUGUAUAUACUGAAUAUUAACCCUCUAUCAGAAGAUCUAGGAUACAUAAAGAUCUUUUCACAAUCUGUUGUUUACUGUUUUGUCCUAUUGACAGUGUCUUUUGCCUUACAGAAGCUUUGAAAUUCCUGAAAUUCUUAGGUAAAUGGAUAUAGAAAUGAGAUAAUUCAAUCACAAAAGAACACACAUGGUAUGUGCUCACUGAUAAGUGUAUAUUAGCCCAAAAUCUCAGAACAACCAAGAUAGAAUCCACAGACAACAUGAAGUUCAAGCAGAAGAAAGAUCAAAGUGUGGAUGUUUUGGUCCUUCUUAAAAUGGGGAACAAAAUACUUUCAGGAGGAAAUGCAGAGACAAAUUAUGGGGCAGAGACUGAAGGAAAGACCAUCCAAAGACUGCACCACCUGGGAUCCAUCCCAUAUACAGUUACCAAACACAGACCCUAUUAUGAAUGCCAAGAAGUACUUGCUGACAGGAGCCUGAUAUAGCUGUUUCCGGAGAGGCUUUUUCAGAGCCUGACAAAUACAGAGUUAGACACGCACACCCAACCAUUGGACUGAGCAAAGGGUCCCCAAAUUGUGGAGUUAGAGACAGGGUGAAGGAGCUGAAGGGGUUGGCAACCCCAUAGAAAGGACAACAAUAUCAACCAACGAGAACCCCAGAGCUCCCAGGGACUAAACUACUAACCAAUGAAUACACAUGGAGGGAGCCAUGGCUUCAGCCAGAUAUGUAGCAGAGGAUGGCCUUGUUGGCAACAUGAUGCUAAUGAAGUCACUCUACAAUUACAACAGGAAUCAAACACUGCUUUUUAUCUCUAUCUCUUGCAACACUAACUUUAAACCUUCCGGUGUUCUAUUUACCUUGAUGAUUAAAAGUUGGUAAGUAAAGAAGAAAAAAUCUUCCUCUCAACAAGAGCUAUUUUUUAAAAAAUGUAAUGAGGACCGUUGUCUUUGAAAAUUUCUUCCAAAUUUCUUUGCUUAAAAGUUUGCCAAGUUGGGCAGUGGUGGCACAGGCCUCUAAUCCCAGCACUUGGGAGACACAGGAAGGCAUAUUUCUGAGUUUGAAGUCAGCCUGUUCUACAGAGUGAGUUCCAGGAUGGCCAGGGCUACAGAGAGAAACUGUGUCUC